GUGGGGAAUCUUCCGCAAUGGACGAAAGUCUGACGGAGCAACGCCGCGUGAGUGAAGAAGGUUUUCGGAUCGUAAAGCUCUGUCAUCAGGGACGAACGGCCGGUGGAGUGGAAAGCCACCGGAUUGACGGUACCUGAGAAGGAAGCCACGGCUAACUACGUGCCAGCAGCCGCGGUAAUACGUAGGUGGCAAGCGUUGUCCGGAAUUAUUGGGCGUAAAGCGCGCGCAGGUGGGAUCUUAAGUCCAUUUUUAAAGUUCGGAGCUCAACUCCGUGAUGGGAUGGAAACUGGGAUUCUUGAGUACCGGAGAGGAAAGCGGAAUUCCCCGUGUAGCGGUGAAAUGCGUAGAUAUGGGGAGGAACACCAGUGGCGAAGGCGGCUUUCUGGACGGUGUCUGACACUGAGGCGCGAAAGCCAGGGGAGCGAACGGGAUUAGAAACCCCGGUAGUCC
rnacentral:rRNA from 1 species